rnacentral:rRNA from 1 species
GUUAGGAAUAUUGGACAAUGGGCGCAAGCCUGAUCCGGCCAUGCCGCGUGAGUGAUGAAGGCCUUCGGGUUGUAAAGCUCUUUAGUCCACGAAUAUAAUGACUGUAGUGGAAGAAUAAGCCCCGGCUAACUUCGUGCCAGCAGCCGCGGUAAUACGAAGGGGGCGAGCGUUAUUCGGAAUCACUGGGCGUAAAGCGUGCGUAGGCUGUUUUGUAAGUCAGAAGUGAAAGCCCAGGGCUUAACCCUGGAAUUGCUUUUGAAACUACAAGACUCGAAUUCGGGAGAGGAUAGCGGAAUUGUCAGUGUAGCAGUGAAAUGCGUAGAUAUUGACAGGAACACCAGUGGCGCAAGCGGCUAUCUGGACCGAUAUUGACGCUGAGGCACGAAAGCGUGGGGAGCAAACAGGAUUAGAUACCCGAGUAGUCC